GCCCUGACGCUGCCCCGUGUCCCCAGGUGCCACCUUCGACAAGCGCUCUCCCACCUGGGCGGCGCUGGCGCGCAUCGCGGGGCUCUGCAACCGCGCCGUCUUCAAGCCGGGCCAGGAGAACGUCUCCAUCUCCAAGCGGGACACGGCCGGGGACGCGUCCGAGUCGGCGCUGCUCAAGUGCAUCCAACUGUCGUGCGGCUCCGUGAAGAGAAUGCGCGACCGCAACCCCAAAGUGACCGAGAUCCCCUUCAACUCCACCAACAAGUACCAGCUGUCCAUCCACGAGCGCGAGGAGGACCCCCAGGGCUACCUGCUGGUGAUGAAGGGAGCCCCCGAGCGCAUCCUGGACCGCUGCUCCCGCAUCCUGCUGCA